ACUCCUACGGGAGGCAGCAGUGGGGAAUAUUGCACAAUGGGCGCAAGCCUGAUGCAGCCAUGCCGCGUGUAUGAAGAAGGCCUUCGGGUUGUAAAGUACUUUCAGCAGUGAGGAAGGUGGGGUGUAGUUAAUAGCAUACUUCAUUUGACGUUAGCUGCAGAAGAAGCACCGGCUAACUCCGUGCCAGCAGCCGCGGUAAUACGGAGGGUGCGAGCGUUAAUCGGAAUUACUGGGCGUAAAGCGCAUGCAGGUGGUUUGUUAAGUCAGAUGUGAAAGCCCGGGGCUCAACCUCGGAAUUGCAUUUGAAACUGGCAAACUAGAGUACUGUAGAGGGGGGUAGAAUUUCAGGUGUAGCGGUGAAAUGCGUAGAGAUCUGAAGGAAUACCGGUGGCGAAGGCGGCCCCCUGGACAGAUACUGACACUCAGAUGCGAAAGCGUGGGGAGCAAACAGGAUUAGAUACCCUGGUAGGAUAGCGU
rnacentral:rRNA from 1 species